AGGGAAAGAAUUUGAAAACUCAGGUGAUUGGGUGUCCAAAAACCAUUGAUGGUGAUUUGAAAUGCAAAGAAGUCCCAAUAAGUUUUGGGUUUGAUACUGCUUGCAAGAUAUAUGCAGAAAUGAUUGGAAAUGUCUUGAUAGAUGCCAGAUCAACUGGAAAAUAUUAUCACUUUGUGCGGCUUAUGGGGCGUGCAGCUUCACACAUAACACUUGAAUGUGCUUUGCAAACUCAUCCAAACAUUACAAUUGUUGGAGAAGAGGUACCUUUGAAUGACUUGUCUUGCCUUGUAUAGCUGCUCGAUUAAAA